GACGAACGCUUGCGACGUGCCUGAGAAAUGCAAGUCGAGCGGUAGACGGUCUUUCGGGAUUGUCUAUAGCGGCGAACGGUCGAGUAACACGUAACCAACCUGCCUUCCUGUCUGGGAUAGCCCUUCGAAAGAGGGAGUAAUACCGGAUGGUCUCCUGUGAAGACAUCUUUAUGGGAGUAAAGGCUUGUAUGCGGGAAGAGGGGGUUGCGUCCUAUCAGCUGGUUGGCGGGGUAACGGCCCACCAAGGCGACGACGGGUAGCUGGUCUGAGAGGAUGAUCAGCCGGAUUGGGACUGAGACACGGCCCAGACUCCGUACGGGAGGCAGCAGUGGGGAAUCUUGCGCAAUGGGCGAAAGCCUGACGCAGCAACGCCGCGUGGGGA
rnacentral:rRNA from 1 species